rnacentral:rRNA from 1 species
GACGAGCCACACGAACGUUAUUCGGAAUUACUGGGCGUAAAGGGCGCGUAGGCGGCCGAGCAAGUUAGAUGUGAAAGUCCUGGGCUUAACCUGGGGACUGCAUUUGAUACUGCUUGGCUUGAAUUCGGGAGAGGAUAGCGGAAUUCCCAGUGUAGAGGUGAAAUUCGUAGAUAUUGGGAAGAACACCGGUGGCGAAGGCGGCUAUCUGGACCGACAUUGACGCUGAGGCGCGAAAGCGUGGGGAGCAAACAGG